UACGAAGGGGGGCUAGCGUUUGCUCGGAAUCACUGGGCGUAAAGGGUGCGUAGGCGGGUCUUUUAAGUCAGGGGUGAAAUCCUGGAGCUCAACUCCAGAACUGCCUUUGAUACUGAAGAUCUUGAGUUCGGGAGAGGUGAGUGGAACUGCGAGUGUAGAGGUGAAAUUCGUAGAUAUUCGCAAGAACACCAGUGGCGAAGGCGGCUCACUGGCCCGAUACUGACGCUGAGGCACGAAAGCGUGGGGAGCAA
rnacentral:rRNA from 1 species